ensembl:lncRNA
UAUUAACGGUUUGGAUCAAUAUGAAAAUCCCAACAAAGAGUGGAGCACCGACGACGAGUUGCUGCCGCACUUUUGCAUUACAGAUAUCUUCGGCUACCUUGUUUGUUUUGUGAGCGCCUACACUUCAGAACAGUUCCGAGGCUACAAGUCAUUGGAGUCUCAUGUGCAGUUCACAAAUGGAUGGGUUAAGGAACUGCAGAUCAUAAAGCCGGCAAACAGUAUACAGUAAUCCAGACAAAGACGGACGCACAACUUCAACGUGCAAUCCAAAAACGUCACAACGUCAUUUACAUACACAUGUCGGCGGAUGACACGUGCCGAUGACAUCACCUCAUUUAUCCUCAAUUUCCCGCGAAAGACCUACGCAGCGAUUAAAGAGCAGAGAAACCACAUCUUUGUCUUUUUGCUGUCCGAGACAUUAAACCAGGAGAAGAGAUUACUUACAGCUAUGGAGACUGGGAUUGGCAAGCCAAGCGUUCAUCACCUGCUCCUGUGACUGCUACAUCAUCCUCAUCCUCAUCCUCACCUGUGAGGAAAAGUUCAUCACCUGCCCCUGUUACUGCUACAUCAUCCUCAUCCUCACCUGUGAGGAAAAGUUAAUCACCUGCCCCUGUUACUGCUACAUCAUUCUCAUCCUCAUCCUCACCUGUGAGGAAAAGUUCAUCACCUGCCCCUGUGACUGCUACAUCAUCCUCAUCCUCACCUGUGAGGAAAAGUUCAUCAAGAAAAAGACAGCAGGAGAGGUUUCAGUCAAGAUUGGUCACACUACGGGAACAUCAUAACAAUUGCUCCAAGCGCUUUAAUAGAGCAGAAGUUGAAAAAACCAACAGAACAAAAAAGACUGCCAUACUUGAGGAUUGCGUUGUAUUCGAGUCUUCUGAUGCACCCUGUGCUAUGUGUACCUCUGUAAAGGCAUCACCACCCUCUCGCCCUUCUCCACUCCCCUCAUCAUCAUCAUCAUCAGCUGCCCCUGUGAUUGGCACAUCAUCUUCAUCCUCCCCAUCAUCACCUGCCCCUUUGCCCUGUGAUGCAUCCACUUCUGUGAUCUCUCCAUCACAGGUGUCCCAGACACUCUCAAUAAGGGAGGUUCAUCAAUCCCUUCAAAAAGAAAAUGGGAGGACUCUGAGGUAAAAGCAGUUGAAAAACAUAUGAUGAAGUUCAUAAAGACCUGCAGAGUUCCUGGUAAGCAAGACUGUGAGAGAUGCAUUAAAGCAGAGUCAGAAGCCUUAAAGGAACGAACAUGGACUGGUGUGAAAAAUUAUGUGCGGAACAGGAUCACAACUU